rnacentral:lncRNA from 1 species
GAGAGAGCGCUGAGCGCCAAGCGCUGAGGCGUGGAGACUCGAGGUGGCGGCCGAGAGUAGGAAGCAAAACAACGGGACGGGACUGACUCGGGGCAACAACGACUACCCAUUGUGGGGAAAGCCCCACCCACAAUGGCUGCAGCCCCCAGCAUCUGCCUCCAGAGCGGCGUCUUCUGUGUGACACUCAGGGAUGGAGCAGGGGGAGUGUUCGCAGGGAGAGGACUUCCGGAACCGGGCCGAUUACCUUCAUCGGUGUUAG